CCUCAAGGAGCGGGAUUUUGAUAUUUAGGGCUUGCGGUGCGUACAUCUAUGUGUAUGUAUGUAUGUGUGUAUGUAUGUGUGUAUGUAUGUGUGUUCAGGGGGGCAGUUAUGGGGAAAUAAGUCGGCCGGGUGUGCCGAACCAUGGUAGCAGCGGCAGCAGCAGCAGUAGCAGUAGCAGCAGCAAUAGCAGCAGCUGCUUGUUAAGGUGAUAAGACGGCGGAUAAUAAAAGCGUGUGUGUUUGCUAAUGUGUGUCUUCUAAUAUCGAACGUAUGCCUGGCUGGUGAAGCCGGCUGUGGGAUGCCGUACAUCUUCGCGUGGCUGAACGAGCUUGCACAGAAUCCUAAACCCUCAUCUCUAAGCCCCUGUGUCCCCUACCACUCGUUGUAAAUCUGUCAGAGGUUUUUCUCGGAGCAGACUGACAAACAAACAUAGAAACAUACAUACAUACAUACAUACAUACAUAC
rnacentral:lncRNA from 1 species